ensembl:snoRNA
UGUUCUGAUGAUAACUAGUAAUAGGAAGUGCCGUCAGAAGCGAUAACUGACGAUAUUUAUACAUAAUCUGACU